rnacentral:misc_RNA from 1 species
AAAUCCUGGUGGUUGCUCCAUAUGUACCUCCUCAACCAGUUCCCCAUGCAAAAAGGCAUUUUUAAUAUCCAACUAAUAAAGUGUCCAGUGAUGCAUUGCUGCCAAAGAGAUAAGUAGAUGGACUGAUGCAAUUUUAGUUGCAGGAGAGAAGUUGUCACCAUAAUCAGUCCCAUAAAUUUGAGUGUAGCCUUAAGCAACAAGACGAACCUUUAAUCUAUCAAUCUUCCCAUCCGGACCUUACUUCACACUAUAAAUCUAGCAGCAUCCACCCUGUGGCAAUGGAAUCAACUCCCAAGUACCAUUAUUAUAGAGAGCAGUCAUUUCCUCUGUCAUUGCAUUAUGCCACCCUGGUUGUGAUAAUGCUUCCUUAACACAGUCUUUGGGAUG